rnacentral:rRNA from 1 species
UUUGGUUAAGUUAGAAAGGGCGCACGGUGGAUGCCUUGACACUAGGAGUCGAUGAAGGACGGGACUAACGCCGAUAUGCUUCGGGGAGCUGUAAGUAAGCUUUGAUCCGAAGAUUUCCGAAUGGGGAAACCCACCAUACGUAAUGGUAUGGUAUCCUUAUCUGAAUACAUAGGGUAAGGAAGACAGACCCAGGGAACUGAAACAUCUAAGUACCUGGAGGAAGAGAAAGCAAAUGCGAUUUCCUGAGUAGCGGCGAGCGAAACGGAACAUAGCCCAAACCAAGAGGCUUGCCUCUUGGGGUUGUAGGACAUUCUAUACGGAGUUACAAAGGAACGAGGUAGACGAAGCGACCUGGAAAGGUCCGUCGUAGAGGGUAACAACCCCGUAGUCGAAACUUCGUUCUCUCUUGAAUGUAUCCUGAGUACGGCGGAACACGUGAAAUUCCGUCGGAAUCUGGGAGGACCAUCUCCCAAGGCUAAAUACUCCCUAGUGAUCGAUAGUGAACCAGUACCGUGAGGGAAAGGUGAAAAGCACCCCGGAAGGGGAGUGAAAGAGAUCCUGAAACCGUGUGCCUACAAAUAGUCAGAGCCCGUUAACGGGUGAUGGCGUGCCUUUUGUAGAAUGAACCGGCGAGUUACGAUCCCGUGCGAGGUUAAGCUGAAGAGGCGGAGCCGCAGCGAAAGCGAGUCUGAAUAGGGCGUUUAGUACGUGGUCGUAGACCCGAAACCAGGUGAUCUACCCAUGUCCAGGGUGAAGUUCAGGUAACACUGAAUGGAGGCCCGAACCCACGCACGUUGAAAAGUGCGGGGAUGAGGUGUGGGUAGCGGAGAAAUUCCAAUCGAACCUGGAGAUAGCUGGUUCUCCCCGAAAUAGCUUUAGGGCUAGCCUUAAGUGUAAGAGUCUUGGAGGUAGAGCACUGAUUGGACUAGGGGUCCUCAUCGGAUUACCGAAUUCAGUCAAACUCCGAAUGCCAAUGACUUAUCCUUAGGAGUCAGACUGCGAGUGAUAAGAUCCGUAGUCAAAAGGGAAACAGCCCAGACCGCCAGCUAAGGUCCCCAAAGUGUGUAUUAAGUGGAAAAGGAUGUGGAGUUGCUUAGACAACUAGGAUGUUGGCUUAGAAGCAGCCACCAUUUAAAGAGUGCGUAAUAGCUCACUAGUCGAGUGACUCUGCGCCGAAAAUGUACCGGGGCUAAAUACACCACCGAAGCUGCGGAUUGAUACCAAUGGUAUCAGUGGUAGGGGAGCGUUCUAAGGACAGUGAAGUCAGACCGGAAGGACUGGUGGAGUGCUUAGAAGUGAGAAUGCCGGUAUGAGUAGCGAAAGACGGGUGAGAAUCCCGUCCACCGAAUGCCUAAGGUUUCCUGAGGAAGGCUCGUCCGCUCAGGGUUAGUCAGGACCUAAGCCGAGGCCGACAGGCGUAGGCGAUGGACAACAGGUUGAUAUUCCUGUACCACCUCUUUAUCGUUUGAGCAAUGGAGGGACGCAGAAGGAUAGAAGAAGCGUGCGAUUGGUUGUGCACGUCCAAGCAGUUAGGCUGAUAAGUAGGCAAAUCCGCUUAUCGUGAAGGCUGAGCUGUGAUGGGGAAGCUCCUUAUGGAGCGAAGUCUUUGAUUCCCCGCUGCCAAGAAAAGCUUCUAGCGAGAUAAAAGGUGCCUGUACCGCAAACCGACACAGGUAGGCGAGGAGAGAAUCCUAAGGUGUGCGAGAGAACUCUGGUUAAGGAACUCGGCAAAAUGACCCCGUAACUUCGGGAGAAGGGGUGCUUUCUUAACGGAAAGCCGCAGUGAAUAGGCCCAAGCGACUGUUUAGCAAAAACACAGCUCUCUGCGAAGCCGUAAGGCGAAGUAUAGGGGGUGACACCUGCCCGGUGCUGGAAGGUUAAGGAGAGGGGUUAGCGUAAGCGAAGCUCUGAACUGAAGCCCCAGUAAACGGCGGCCGUAACUAUAACGGUCCUAAGGUAGCGAAAUUCCUUGUCGGGUAAGUUCCGACCCGCACGAAAGGUGUAACGAUUUGGGCACUGUCUCAACCAGAGACUCGGUGAAAUUAUAGUACCUGUGAAGAUGCAGGUUACCCGCGACAGGACGGAAAGACCCCGUGGAGCUUUACUGUAGCCUGAUAUUGAAUUUUGGUACAGUUUGUACAGGAUAGGCGGGAGCCUUUGAAACCGGAGCGCUAGCUUCGGUGGAGGCGCUGGUGGGAUACCGCCCUGACUGUAUUGAAAUUCUAACCUACGGGUCUUAUCGACCCGGGAGACAGUGUCAGGUGGGCAGUUUGACUGGGGCGGUCGCCUCCUAAAGUGUAACGGAGGCGCCCAAAGGUUCCCUCAGAAUGGUUGGAAAUCAUUCGUAGAGUGCAAAGGCAUAAGGGAGCUUGACUGCGAGACCUACAAGUCGAGCAGGGACGAAAGUCGGGCUUAGUGAUCCGGUGGUUCCGCAUGGAAGGGCCAUCGCUCAACGGAUAAAAGCUACCCCGGGGAUAACAGGCUUAUCUCCCCCAAGAGUCCACAUCGACGGGGAGGUUUGGCACCUCGAUGUCGGCUCAUCGCAUCCUGGGGCUGUAGUCGGUCCCAAGGGUUGGGCUGUUCGCCCAUUAAAGCGGUACGCGAGCUGGGUUCAGAACGUCGUGAGACAGUUCGGUCCCUAUCCGUCGUGGGCGUAGGAAAUUUGAGAGGAGCUGUCCUUAGUACGAGAGGACCGGGAUGGACGCACCGCUGGUGUACCAGUUGUUCUGCCAAGGGCAUAGCUGGGUAGCUAUGUGCGGAAGGGAUAAGUGCUGAAAGCAUCUAAGCAUGAAGCCCCCCUCAAGAUGAGAUUUCCCAUAGCGUAAGCUAGUAAGAUCCCUGAAAGAUGAUCAGGUUGAUAGGUUCGAGGUGGAAGCAUGGUGACAUGUGGAGCUGACGAAUACUAAUAGAUCGAGGACUUAACCAUAUAA